CGAUAAGCUUCACUGUACGCGCUCAUUUAACUUCGUUAGUUCAGGAGAAGAUGACUGGGCUACGGCUAAAGCCAGCAGAAGCUACAUCGAACAAACUUCCCUUGUCUGCUUUGUGUUGCGGGUGCUGCUGCUGACUGUCCUGAAAUCCAUGCGUUGCAGCAAGAUGGGAGCGGAUGGAUUCGCCUCAGGGUCGAACGUGAAGCAGGAAUUCCGGCCAACUGCCAUGAAAUUCACACCUCUCAGAGAGAUGAGCGGGUGGAGCUGCCUCGCAAUCACAACUUGAAAAGCAAGGUAAAGACGGGAGGAAGUGUCUCCCAGCACAUCCAGGGAGCCAGCGUGGGGGUGAGAGUGAUGAGUUGCACUAAUCAGUUGGGGCGUUUGAUGCAGUGGCAUCGUUGCCCCGAUCCGACCCGACCUGAGGACACACUGUGUGCACAGGGGCCAUCUGACUCAACCCUCCCGCUCUUUAUAGCUGUGUGCAUUAUGAUGUCAUUGUGGGACUAUGUAGCCUAUAAUAGUUUUUGCCCACUGUUGCAUUGGAGGAGAGCAUCAUUACUUCUAUAAUUUGUUAGGAGGGAUUUUAAAAAGACAAGCGAAUCCUGAUUUCUCUUCAAAGACUUGUAGUUUCCAGAAUCUGUACUAAUACUGCCCGUCCUUUUCUUUUUUUAUGUCCACCAACCCGCAGUGGGAGGGUGUCAUGCUGUGGAUUUUCUCGGGCUUCUCCCUCCCAGAGUCCACCAUCAGCGCACUGACCUUGGAGGGCAGCGCCUUCAUUCCUGAAGGCAGACUAGAAAAACCCUUCCAGAUCCACAGCAGCAGCCCCUGGUACAGCUGCAGGACCCCCACCCGCUGCACAGGUGGCGUGUCCUUGAUGCCCGAGCGGCUGCAGUAUUGACCCGAUACGGGGAGGACGUUCCUGAUGGACGUGUCGGCCCAGAACCGCAUGGUGACCAGUGUGUUCCUUGGAAUAUCUCUCCUGCUGCAUUGUGGGCUUAUUGCUGGUGAGCAACACCAGGGAGGUCUCAUUCAUCCUGAAAUCUAUUUAAACUUUGCUGUCAUCUCCACAAAAGCGGCUUAAACGUGCACAAACCCUGUCGGGGGCCGUGUGUCGGUCUAAUGGGAACUCUCUGUAUCCUAAUGUGGGCAAGUCCUCUCAGUAAUGGCCUUCUCGCCUCUGCUUCCUCCUAAAGAGAGCAGCAUCAUCAUCAUCAGAGGCCACAGCUCAUCUUAAAUAUCUCCACGGUCAUUGAAUAAACCUUUAAAAUCAGUUUUGUGUCAUGUGUUUAUUAAUGGAUUCAAUAAGAGGGUGAGUCCUCCCUGUGAGAACGACCAUCGUUUUAUUUGCUUUAGUCAACAUUUUGAAUGCUAUUAGCUGUGUUGAAGGCUGG
ensembl:lncRNA